rnacentral:lncRNA from 1 species
UAGCAAAGUUCAAUUCACUCUCUCUCCAAUCUUAUUUUUUCUCUCGAUCUUGAACCCUAGCCUCCUCUAUCCCUCUCCAUUUGGAUGGCGAAUAACUGGAGAUGUAGAACACCGAUUCAAAGAAAUCCUAACCGAUUUGUAGAAGGCGGUGGCAUCUGGUGUAGAUCCGACAUCGUUUGACGGUAAAGAUUGGGGCGUAUCCGUUCGAGAAUAUCUUUUUCAAAACGACGCCGUCAGUCAGGUUCCGAUUCUGACUCAUUCAACGGUUAAAUGGGUUCAGGGUUAGUUCGGUUUCGUGACGAUUCUGAAUUAGAACAGGUUCAAAAUUGAGAUGCUAAUUACUCAAAGUCUAGAAACUACCAUGCAUAUAUCAGUGAUCGCUAUAACUCUCUCUAAGGACGGAACUGAAUACAUCAGUUAUUGGAGAAAUAGGAGGUUGAACCUGGAAAAGAAUCAUUAAACACUUUGGUGGAAGAAGGAAUCGAGCAUAAACCACAAAAGGCUACAAAAGAGCAAAGAAGAAGGUUCUAAUAAGAAAAAAGAAAAUGAUAUUAAUGUUAGUAAGCUCGUGUCUGGGCCAAAACUAUUUUUGCCAGGUUCACCCGUAAACAUUUGAUGCAAAGACUUUUUUCAUCGCAAUAAAUAUUUGACGCAAAUAUAAUUACUGUGUG